rnacentral:rRNA from 1 species
AACGAACGCUGGCGGCAUGCCUAACACAUGCAAGUCGAACGAGACCUUCGGGUCUAGCGGCGCACGGGUGAGUAACGCGUGGGAACCUGCCCUUAGGUUCGGAAUAACUCCCCGAAAGGGGUGCUAAUACCGGAUAAUGUCUUCGGACCAAAGAUUUAUCGCCUUUGGAUGGGCCCGCGUUGGAUUAGCUAGUUGGUAGGGUAAAAGCCUACCAAGGCGACGAUCCAUAGCUGGUCUGAGAGGAUGAUCAGCCACACUGGGACUGAGACACGGCCCAGACUCCUACGGGAGGCAGCAGUGGGGAAUAUUGGACAAUGGGCGAAAGCCUGAUCCAGCAAUGCCGCGUGAGUGAUGAAGGCCUUAGGGUUGUAAAGCUCUUUUACCCGGGAUGAUAAUGACAGUACCGGGAGAAUAAGCUCCGGCUAACUCCGUG